CUGUAAACAAUACAUGGCGAUCAAAAAUACAAGAUUUUAUUACAUCUAAGAACAACAUAAUUAUGCAAGUGUAUAAAAAGAUACAAGAAAUGUGAGAUUUGGGAGUGCGUUGAGAUCAAAAACGUUUUUGUGGUCUCCACAAACAUGUAAGCAUAGGUUGGGUGUACAGGAUGUACCCAUAAUAGCCCCGUGUACUUGCAGGCAGGAACCUUCUUUAAAUAUUAAAUAGAUUUGAGUAAUGCACUAGUAACCCCUGU
rnacentral:lncRNA from 1 species